rnacentral:rRNA from 1 species
UACGGAGGGUGCAAGCGUUAUCCGGAUUCACUGGGUUUAAAGGGUGCGUAGGUGGGCAAGUAAGUCAGUGGUGAAAUCUCCGGGCUUAACCCGGAACUGCCAUUGAUACUAUUUGUCUUGAAUAUCCUGGAGGUAGGCGGAAUAUGUCAUGUAGCGGUGAAAUGCUUAGAUAUGACAUAGAACACCGAUAGCGAAGGCAGCUUACUACAGGAUGAUUGACGCUGAGGCACGAAAGCGUGGGGAGCAAACAGG